GAUGAACGCUGGCGGCGUGCUUAACACAUGCAAGUCGAACGAAGCACUUUAUUUGAUUUCCUUCGGGACUGAUUAUUUUGUGACUGAGUGGCGGACGGGUGAGUAACGCGUGGGUAACCUGCCUUGUACAGGGGGAUAACAGUUGGAAACGGCUGCUAAUACCGCAUAAGCGCACGGCAUCGCAUGAUGCAGUGUGAAAAACUCCGGUGGUAUAAGAUGGACCCGCGUUGGAUUAGCUAGUUGGUGAGGUAACGGCCCACCAAGGCGACGAUCCAUAGCCGACCUGAGAGGGUGACCGGCCACAUUGGGACUGAGACACGGCCCAAACUCCUACGGGAGGCAGCAGUGGGGAAUAUUGCACAAUGGGCGAAAGCCUGAUGCAGCGACGCCGCGUGAGCGAAGAAGUAGUUCGGUAUGUAAAGCUCUAUAAGCAGGGAAGAUAAUGACGGUACCUGACUAAGAAGCACCGGCUAAAUACGUG
rnacentral:rRNA from 1 species